UACGAAGGGUGCUAGCGUUAUUCGGAAUAAUUGGGCGUAAAGGGUGCGUAGACGGCAUAUUAAGUCAACUGUUAAAUUCUCCGGCCUAACUGGGGGUCAGCGGUAGAAACUGAUGUGCUAGAGGAUGAAAGAGAGAAGUGGAAUUCUCGGAGUAGCGGUAAAAUGCGUAGAUCUCGAGAGGAACACCGAUGGCGAAGGCAGCUUCUUGGUUCAUUCCUGACGUUGAGGCACGAAAGCGUGGGGAGCAAACAGG
rnacentral:rRNA from 1 species